rnacentral:lncRNA from 1 species
UAUAAGCUUCUGUUUAGCAUAGAAAAUGGGAGGUUUUCAGUCUGUUUCCUGUCCGGUUCCAAGUGGAACCCCGGUAUCUUUGGUAUUACAAAACUGGAGAGAGUUACCGACCUCAGGUCUUAAGUCCAGUCGUUUAAUAGAGCUCAGUUCAGGGGAAUGGUCUCAGCGCCUAGAUUCUGGAUAUUUAUGGCCUCCUUUUGGUACCUUCAACCCCCAACUUAUUUCUAAACUCGCAAAGGAUUUACAAAACUUCAAGGAAGAUUUGGAUUAUUUGCAGUUGUUUGCAUGUUUUGAUGAACAAGGGCACAUGCGCAACCAAGUAAACAUACUACUUGCUCCUGUUAUGGAAGCAUGCCUAACUUCUUCUGUGCUACUACCUGCUUACCCAGCGCUUGAGGACUGCUAUCCAACCCCCACUGGUCUGCCUGUUUUUCCUGUUGCAACCCGACCUCAACUCUGCAAUCCAGCACCCCUUAAUGAUGCUGCUAGCACCAUUUCAACACCACCUUUGUCAUUAACCUCACCCCGAUCAAGCAUGUCUGGUUCUCCCACUGUUGUUCCUCGACCUGUGCAAGUACCCAGUCUGACUCCUGUUGCACUUCCUGAGCAAAACCCUCUCGUGAACCCACCACCUCAGAAUCUCAUUGACUUUGCAUCAUUUUCACCUAUUCUGCCUCGCAACAAAGAUUGCUUCCUGCCACGUAUUUCGUCUCCUGAGGAACGAACACCAGGACAGAGCAAUCUGCAGAUGCCUGUUCAACAAGUUCCUGUUCCUGAUGGCACCAGAGGAGUUUUUUAUGCUCCCUUCCAUUCACCUUUUAAAACCAGUGAUUUGCUGUCAUGGCAACAACACACUCCUCGAUUACGUGACAAUCCAGACACCGUUUACUGCCGCUUUGAUUUAUUGUUUCAAACGCACGCUCCAACCUGGGAUGAUUGUCAGCAGUUAAUGUCAGCCUUAUUAACUGGAGAUGAAAGAGAGACUGUAUUGCGACAUGCUAAUAUUUGGCUGGGGCAGCAAAACAUACAAAAUUUGGCUGCAAUGCCCCUUACCUGACCUAAUUGGAAUAUUAAUGACCAGGGUGAUCGAGAAUUGAUGCGCCAAUAUCGCAGGGGAAUCCUGGAAGGCAUAAAGGGAUCCACUGCAAAGACUGGGGA